rnacentral:rRNA from 1 species
AUUGAACGCUGGCGGCAGGCCUAACACAUGCAAGUCGAACGAGUGGCGGACGGGUGAGUAAUGUCUGGGAAACUGCCCGAUGGAGGGGGAUAACUACUGGAAACAGUAGCUAAUACCGCAUACCAUCGGAUGUGCCCAUAUGGGUUUAGCUAGUAGGUGGGGUAACGCCUCACCUAGGCGACGAUCCCUAGCUGGUCUGAGAGGAUGACCAGCCACCCUGGAACCGAGACACGGUCCAUACUCCUACGUGAGGCAGCAGUGGGGAAUAUUGCACAAUGGGCGCAAGCCUGAUUCAGCCAGGCCGCGUGUAUGAAGAUGGCCUUCGGGUUGUAAAGUACUUUCAGCGGGGAGGCGGUACUCGCAGAAGAAGCACCGGCUAACUCCGUGCCAGCAGCCGCGGUAAUAC